CAAAAUCUAUCAUCAUUCUCAUUUUUUUCUCUUCGCCGAUCGACAUUGAAGUAAGCCGUGAGUUCGAGUUCAUCAUCAUUGAUUGAAUAACCCUCUCCAAUCGAGAUCGAUUUCAGUUGAACUGGAUUUGAUUUUAGAAUCUGAAGAUGAAAAUCAAACUAUCAAUCGCCAAGCUAAUGUCGACGCCAACACUCCGAUGAACGUACGUUUGCUUCUUCGCCUUCGCCGUCAGAUCUGAUCGUGUGAGAGGAUGAACAAGAGGAAGAUCGGAAAAAAUUCUCAGAGUUUCGUCUAAGGGUUUCGAAUGGACUUUUCGAGCGGAAGAUCAGAAAAAAUUCUCACGAGAGAAGACAACCACAAGAGAACGGUGGACCCACAUUACGCUUUCGAAUGGACUUUGCUGUUUGGGCCCUUUUUGCUUCCCAAGCCCAACAAGGUAUUUUACUUUCCUCCUUCCUUAUUUUUGUUUUUCUUCCUUUUUUUAUUUUCUUACUAAAACUAUAAGGUUUUUUCUUAUAAGUGUUAAAUAUUUAAAUUUUGUGUUAACUAAUUGGACACAACGUCCAAACCCCUAA
rnacentral:sRNA from 1 species